rnacentral:rRNA from 1 species
AAUCAACGCUGGCGGCGUGCCUCAGACAUGCAAGUCGAACGAGAAAGUUCCCUUCGGGGAAUGAGUAAAGUGGCGCACGGGUGAGUAACACGUAGGUAAUCUACCUUCGGGUGGGGAAUAACCCAGGGAAACUUGGGCUAACACCGCAUAAUGCAGCGGCACCACAUGGUGACAGUUGUUAAAGCGGGGGAUUUUAGGACCUCGCGCCUGAAGAGGAGCCUGCGGCGGAUUAGCNGUUGGUAAGGUAACGGCUUACCAAGGCGACGAUCCGUAGCCGGCCUGAGAGGGCGGUCGGCCACACUGACACUGACAUACGGGUCAGACUCCUAC